rnacentral:lncRNA from 1 species
UGGCUUCCACCCCUGCCUUCAAGUCUGCUCAGACAAUCUCCCUCCCAAGAUAGACAAGCUCCAAAAAGAUUCACAGGUUCUACACAAUGCAGAACUGCCAAGGACCACAUUGGCCAAAGCAAUGUCUUCAUACAAUCAAUCUUAAGGGAUUUUGCAGAGACAAUGGUAAAUGUGGAUUAGGCUUUUGAUCAGAAGGCAGAAUAUUCGUGACCAGCCUGGGCAACAUGGUGAAACCCAUCUCUACAAAAAUUAGCUGGAUGUGGUGGUGGCCGCCUGUGGUCCCAAAUACUUGGGAGGCUGAGGUGAGAGGAUCACUUGAGACUGGGAGGUUGAGGCUGCAGUGAGCCAACAUCGCACCACUGCACUCCAGCAUGGGCUGUUACAGAGCAAGACCCUGUCUCAAAAAAAAAAAAAAAAGAAAAGAAAAGAAAAGAAAAGAAAGAAAGGCAGAACCUUUAGGCAGCAGAUGUCCACCAGAGCCCCAGCGGAGACAACACUCUACCUGGACAUUUUAUUUGCUGUAAUGUUCUUACGAGUUGCAAGCCUGGUCCACUUUUUACUUCACAACUAAUGUGGAAGAGAACACAUCUGAUUCCAAGGAGAGGAGACUCAUCUCUUGUCCUCAAUAACAAAUGAGGAAUCUGAAGAGCUUGUUUUAAACAAUUUUGGUGGUCUUACAACCCACUGGCAUAGAAUCUCGAGUGUACUUCUUUCUAUUCACCAUGCCACCUACUUCUACUGCAGACAUGAAAUUAAUCAAGAUCACGUAGAAAUCCAUUGGCUUGGGAGGACAGAACAAUCUUAUUCAUAGAAACAUGAUGUUACUUUAUUAGUAAACAAAUUCAGUAUAA